UACUUCCUAUCACGUUCUGUUCACGAACAACCUCUGUUUUCCACAAUUAAUCCAGUACUUCAGAGUGUUUGUGCAAUUCUUAAAUCAUAACGCUGUUACACGUUUAAGAAGAACUUUGCCAUCCUCAUGGAUGUGGUCCAGAACUGUGAAGCAGUAUACAAAGACUCAAAACAACUGUCGUGAACUCCAGGUUUUGACCAUUUCAAGGAAAACUAUUCACAUUAAAUCUGAACAUGUGCCUUCCUUUGUCUUAAUGAAAUUUGUGCUGCCAGGGCUGUCAUAAAGCUGGCUAGAACAGCCUUGUGCUGUAAUUAGGCCCAUAUGUCUCAGUAAAGAGGCUUUGCAUGUAGCACUUCUGAAAGCAGUACUCUUGGUUUAGUAUUAAAUUGAAAUAUAUUUCCUGGAAAAUAGCAAUCUGGUGGGAAGCUGUCUGAGGUGUGCUUUGCACAGAGGAUGUUCUGUGGAACUGCAAAGGUGGCAGCUUUGUUUCUGCUCAGCUGAUACCCCCAGACCCACUGGCUGAAGAAACUCACCUACAAUGGAUCACUGGCUGUGGGAAGAAAGUCUGCAACUCUCCACUGCGCUCCUAAUUUCCCAAAGUGGCCUUUGGGGCAGGAGGAGGGAGGCGAGUGAGGCAGACAGAAAAAUGCAUUUUUUUUCACUGCAGUGAAGGAGAAGGUGUCCUUGCAAAAUAAAAUUUGGGAAGAACAAAAGAAAGAUAGGGUGUCUCUGCAAAACAAGAUAAAGAAGCUGAGUAGAAAAGUUUCAGUCACAAGGAUCUGGUUAAACAAACUUAGCUUGCGAGUAUAUGUCAGGAGAUGUUGGCUUAGCACCUGCAUUUAAAUCUGGUUUGCUGGACAGAACAAAGUGAUUGACUUCACGGGAUACAAAGAUGGUUCUAGUUGGGCAAAGCAACAAACUCGGAACCCAGAUUACAAAGUAUGUAUAAAGAAAGGAAAUGUGUGUGGGGGUACCUACUGAGUGGGAUGGCUGAUUGGCAAAUUGAGAAGAAUGUGAACCCCGAGUACCUCAGCCAAGGGGGAAAGGGGGGUACCCCCACUAGCAUCGGGGUUCAGGGAUAAAAGAGGGGCUGUGUCUCCCACUACUUCGAGAGAUCCCACAGGAGUUUGCCCCAGGGGACUCUUCCUUGACUCGACCAUAGAAAGCAGCUGCAUCUGCCGCAGGGCGGGGCUCUGUGUGGCCGCAGGCGCUCUCAGCGGUGACCGCAGCGGGAGGGGCGGGCGGCUAUUUUGCUCGGCGCCGCGCUCCCGACUUGUCGAGUGGCAGGAUGGCGGCGGUUGAUGUGCGGUGUGUGAGUGGGCCGAGGCGGCCGGCAGGCGGAGAGGGCCUGGGCUGCUACCUGAGGAGGCCUCUGCUGCCCGGGCAUGGGCAGCAGGCGAGCGGGAGUCUUGUCUGUGGCAGGAAAAGGGAAACCAAGGGAAAAAUAAUUGAGCCAGCGAAGGAAAAAACAGCGUUUUAGGGCGGGUUUGCAAAGACUGUGAAAAGUGCUGCCCUAUGUGAGGUUUUAAGUUGGUGAGCAGAGUACCAUUGUGCAUGAUGCAGGAACAUCAUUGUUACUUCACAGGCUGCUGGGAAGUAAGGGGCUGACUUACUCUUGGGUGUUUGUAUUUCCCUGUCAGUCUUUUCCCCACUUUCAUAUCUUUUAAUUUCUAAUGAAAAUUGCUUUACUUUUUUCAGCAGAGUGAAGGCAAAUGGAUCAGACUGGGGGUGGUACGCUGCCAGAAGAUACAGAGCAGAAGCAAUCAUCCUCUGUGGGAUGGAAAGUGUCAGAGUUGUUGUUAUCUCUCACAAAUAUUGAAAAUGAGCGGCAAAAGUACCUGUCACUUCUGGAGCAAACACACAUCUCUUUCUUCCAUACCAUGCAGUUAGCAGUAAGAUCUAAUAACUGGGAUGCUGCAGCAUGUAGCAAAUGCAGCUUUCUUUGUAAGAAGUCUAUUCAUAGCAGUUUUUCACAAGUAGGUAUUGCAAAGGAAAAUGCUGAGUCAUUAAGAAUAGGAAUGAUAAUCACAGACAGCUCGAUAUCUGAAGAUGUCAAACAGCUGUCUAAAUCCGAGCCAAAAAUAUAUUUUGCUGGAGGACACAAAAAAUACUAUGCUAGUGACUCACUGCAUAAAUAUAUUCUCCCUUAUGUGUUUUUGAUCAAAAAUUGCCUUCCUAUGCCGCUUUCUUUGAUCCAAGACAAAUGUUUCAGUGGAGAGAUAUUAUGCAAAAUACAAUAUUUAAGGAAAGAGAAAAGGCUCAAGACAACUUCAGAGACUCCUGUUUCCAAAUUAGGCAAUUCUGAAGUGCCAGAAAUACCAUAUGUCAUCUUCCACAACCUGAGGGAACUGCAAUGGAAACUGUAUAAAGGCACUGUGAGGAGGAAGGAGUCUAGCCGAAUUUUUUGGAGAGAAGCAAAUUACGGAACUUCUGCAAUGCUAGAUGGAACACCUGCGAAGACACACUACAACCUCCCUUUGAUUUUUAAAGAUUCAGUAAUUUUGUCAGUUUAUCCUGCAUAUCCUGUUCUACAUCUUCAAUUUAAAAGGGAGUAACUGCAGCUCAGAAGAGGAAGCAAAUAAAACUGCAAGUGCCUUAGGCAAUUGAAAAGUUAUUAUUUCUAGUGAUUCUUCAGUCUGUAGUAGUAGCUUGAACUUGGGCCUGGAGGAUAACCUUCUCACACUGUACAAACACAAUACGAUAAACUGACUUUUCCCCCCAAAGAUUUCAUUGUUCCACGGAUGUGGUCAGCCUUCAUGAAAACAAAGUUCACUUAUUUCUCUGUCUGUCCAGGAACAUAAUAAGUUGCUGUUUAUAUAAAAACAUUAUGUCUUUUCCUAUAAAGUGUAAUUCUCAGUCUAGGGAGUCUGGCUCAGUUAACUGCUUUUCAAGAUACUCCUGGUGAGGGUAAUCCCAGGAAUAGAAAUGUUCUAGGUCAAUCAGCUCACUAACCUAAAUGGGUCAUGCCCAGCCCAAAUUAAAGAACUCAAAUCUGUCCUUUCUUUCUCUCUCUGCCUUUUAUAUCUCUCUCCCUCUGCUCCUUUUUUUAUUUUUAUUUUUAUUUUUAUUCAUCACUUCUCUACCUUUUCUUCAAAUCACACUAAGGCUUUGGAACUUUAAUCACCUUUUCUGUCAAUGGCUCUUCUUGUCAGUCAUAAAUACCAUAAAUGACUGGGGACAGUCCCUCUUUCAGUUUGUUUUGCUUUGGGAUGAACCUCCCAGUUGUAUUCUUUCCCCCUCUUCCACUCUCCUUCGACCCAUCAGACUCCUCUCUUUUAGGUCCAAAUUCACACAAUUCUGAUUACAAAAGAGAUUGGUCUGCCACACCAACAACCCAGUCUCCAAGUGUUGGCAAUACCUUCUACUUUCCUGGUUGCCACUGCUAAUGAAUUUGUCCAAUUUUGGUGUUGCCUUUCCAAAAUGACCCCUUUCUUCUAGAUGUCCCAAACAGCUCUUCUCCUCAAGCUGUUCUGAGGUUUCCACUGAUGGUAGCUGCCUAACUGCACUCUUCCAUCUUCUCUUCUGCAAGCAAGUUAUUCCCUGGAGAUACAGGUGACUGCUGACAUUGUAUUUAACAGAAGAUGAAAACAGACAUUUCUUCAUGAGUGAGAUACUAAGCAUGGAAACCCUGCUGCUGCACCAGAUGGUGUUUACAAAGAUACCUACAGAAAUGGGUGCAGUUGCCUUAGCUACCCAGCCGUAGUCAUUCUCAUGGAAAUCCCACUAUGUGAGAGCUAGGUGAGGAUUUCAGAUUUACUCUAAAGCUGUAAAUUAUUCCUCUCAGCUGCAUAAGUGUUGUGAGACAGAGCUGACUGAAAUACCCAGCUUGGUUCUACUUUGCACAGCUUUUGUUGUAUCCUCACCUAGAGGCCGGCAGCCAAGUGGUGGUUCACUACUCUAUGUUUCUUUUUUAAAGAUCUGAUCUGAAACCCAUCAAAGUUUAUGAAAACCCACGGGCUUCGGUGAACUUUGGACUAGGAAUAUGAACCAUGAAAUGGAUUUCUUCUGACGUUUGAAAGAUAACUAUUCAGUGAGUUUCCUGGCUAUUUUCUGAUAAUAGCUGUCCCUGCUUUUGAGUUGCAGCUGAAAGGACACAUAACUUGAUUCCCCAGACACACGGUGCUGGGAGAAGGCAUAACUUUGGAAAAAGGGCAUGCAAAAGGGUUCUAGGUGAGGGAGGAUAAUAGAAAUUUGAUAUUUUGUUUAAAAAGAAGGGCUACACUGCCCAAAAUCAAGACUAUGUCUUAGCUGCUGGAAAAUCUUACCUUGCAUGCUUGGUGGUGGUAUCACACUGGAGACAUGUCAUCCCUUCAGAAAGUGAUUGACAAGAUGAUAGCAGGUGCUAUACUUCUGAUUCCCAAGUAACACACUCAAAAUGUGUUUUUGAUUUCAUACGAUUGGAACAGGACUUGUAUCACAAAUUAAAGCUUGUGUAGCUCUCAGAACAAGUGCUUUUAAAACAAAACGAAACAGCACUUAUUGUGCCAUUGCUUCAGUUUCAGUGCUGUCAUAAUGGCUUAUUGUUUGUAAUUUGCAGGGAGGACAGAUUUCCCAGUACACAACAAACAUUUCCUAAUGUUAAGGAGGUCUGCUUAGGUUGUCUUUAUUAUGAUGAUUAAAAUUCUUGGAUGAGCUAAAACAAGUAAAAUUUUUUGGAAGAGUUUUUGAAAAAUUACUGGAGAGAAAAGAAAUGAGGAACGCAAUCUUACCUACAUUUUGUAUCAAUGCUUUUAUUGUUGUAAUAGUUUUUACAGUGAGGAAGUUGGUACGAGUUAUUCUAAUAUCACUACUGAAACUGAGUAACCAAAAGCUACCUGGGGGAAAUGCUAUACGUUUGUUAAUGCUUUCAACAUCUUCUACAUCUUUUGAGGAGUAAUAGGCAGGAGCUGCUACGCCUCAUCUUUGUUAUGCCUAUUAGAAGUUGUGAUCCAGCUAUCAAUGAUGGUUGUGACGCUGGAUGUUUAAUUCUGAAGUGCUCCAUUCCACUUAAGGUGCUGAAACCGGCUUGUCUCACUCUGCUUGUGCACUGAAUGGGGAGCCUUGCAGUCUAACGUGCGCCUUUGAAUUCUGCUAUGCAGCAAGAUAAUUAGAAGUUAAUUCUUUAAAGCUGAUCUUAAACCUCUCCUAUUCUCACUCUGCCCCUCAGGUCACUUUAAUCAAGUUUCUUUAGCUUUCUGCCAUUUCAGGCUGAAAAGGACAGUGUGGGCUCUCACGAAGCAUGUAGAACACUUUAAACAAAAGGCACGGGGAGUUUUGUACUUUUAAGGCUGCCCCUGUCUGACCUAACAAUAUGGCAACACCAGCUCUCUUUGAUCCGAGAUCAGUACUGUAACAGGUUGCUUAGUUAGGAAUGGCUGUGCUGCCCUGGUGGUGGUGGUUUUCUUUUUUUUUUUCUCUCAUCUGGAGCACAGCUUCACCAUACAAUAAUGUCAUGGAGGUAACAGAACGCAAGGCUUUUUCUGAAUUGCGUAUAAAAUGUAAAGCCAAGGACAUUACUCACCUUAGAAAGAAGUUGCCCAUUCCAUCAGAACUUCAUAAUUGUCACCGAAAUCUUGCUUUAUCAAGCGAGAGUAACAUGCAGUAGUGGCAUGAUGCAGCAGAAGUUUCCUUCUGUUAUGCAGUGAAAUAGUGACUCACCUUACACAGAUUUGCUAAAAUAUCUAAAAUGUUACAGUAUGUACCAAUUUGUUCUGACGUGUAGCAAGUUUCCAUAGAUUUUUCUCUAAUUGCUUUGGUAAUGUUUGACAGUGAUGCUGUUUUACAUUCGUGCACUUGCUUAGAAAUUGCAGUGGGGCUUUCACUGGUUAUUCUCAGGUGUGUAGUGACUCAAACUGUGACAGUGAACAGGGGAGCGUUUAAAAGCAGAAUGUUUCAAAAACCUUUAUGAAGUUAUUUCAGUUUUUAUUAUUUUCCCAGUGAACAAGUAUAUAUUCUUGUCUUGCGAGUUUAGCUUGAUAUUUUCUUCUGUUUUGUUUGACAUAGUAGCUCAUAAUUUCUGUUGUGUUACAUGUUUGGUGCACAUAAACACGCUGGACAACUACUGAAAUCACCAGCUAAAAGGCAUGCAUGAGAACUUAAAAACAUGAAUGGGUGUACGUGCAAAAGAUUGUCACACUUCACAGUUAUGAAUCCUAUGCACUGCAGAUGUAAGGCUCUGUCUUGUUUUCUGGGGGAACUACGAAGUGUAGGAACAAGAGAUUGCCAGCUCUUAAAAAAAGUGCUACAGCCUGAAACAUAAGCUGGAGAUGUGGCAGAAAUCACAACAGAUACACUGAGAUUCACAAAAGAAGAACUGCCCAGAUUUUCUUCCAAAUGCUUCAUUGAAUUGUCUUCUGUACUGGGGGGCAAGGGGUCAUUACAUCUGAAUGUAGACAUCUGAAGAUGUCUUGGAUCCUCUUUCUCACCUGCAAUGGCAGUUACUCAGACAGGAGGUAUAGGAAAGUGUUACAGAUGUAGCUAAGAAACCCUUGGAGUGAAUGGGACACAGAUCAUAUCGAACAGUAGGCUUGCAGACUUGGAGUACUGCUGGGCCACCACUGAAAAAUAAGUGAGAACAUUUGCUCUCUCCCACAUCCUAGAAGAUUCUGGGGCAGGCACAAGUCUGUUGGCAGCAGUAGCUUGGGUCUGUAACUGUUUUUACUUGAGCUUAUCCCAGACUCGUAGAAAGUCUUAUGUUCAUACAGUCAGGGAUGAAAAAUAAUCAAUGCAAUUCGUCCCCACUUACUGCUCCUCAGGCACUGAGUGAGACAGUUUGCACUGAGCUAUGCUUCAAAGGGCUGUUGCAUUCUUGUCUUGAGUGUAUUAUUUCAAAUGCAUUAUUUUUAGAGCCUUCAAGUCUACAGAAGCCUAUGAAUGUUGGAUUAAGGCCAACUUUGGCUCCAUUUCUACAAGGGGUGGCCACAAGUUGCUGUUCAGGGUGGUGCAGGGGAUGACAUGCAGAUCAGAUGAGCUCUGAGACUAUUUUGGGUCAUAUGUGCUUUUCUGUGCUAAAGGGCAGCCAGCUUACGAAAAGUGCUUGAGUGCAGAUUAUCAUCAGAACUAAGGCAGUCCAUGGGUGUGCAAAAGCGUAUGAAUUGAUUUCAGGAGAUAGUCUUAACAGGCCACAAGCAGGCAAAAUAGCAGAGCCUCGACCAUAGCUGUGCUUCAACUGCAUGGCUCCUUCCAACACUGAGCAACAGGACUACAUCUUUUGUUGUGCGUCAUAGCCUCAUCAUUGUUGCUCUGAAUAGUCUUUUGCCUGCUGCUUCCUAUACAAAUUCAAUGAUAGGAUUAGCACUGCAAGCAUUUUUCUUUCUACCACUGCUAUCUUGUGUAUCAGCAGCCUCAUUAAAGUAAUCUAAUCUAGGAGAAAAUCAGUACAUAAUAUUGAACAAUAUUUCUUCUCAAUGGUAACUGUAGCCACUGUUAAAGAAGACAGGUGCAUACGUGCCUUAAUUUCUGUCAUGAUGAAGACAGCAGAAAAAAGAGCAAGGAGUUAUAUUAUAAGAAAGUCUGUGUCUUUCCUACUUCUGCAAUAAUAAUAAAUGUUCAAAAAACAAUAAAACAAUCCAGAGAGAGCAUUAUUUAACGUGGAGGUCUGAUGGGAUCUUAUCAUACAUAUAUCCACUGCAGCUCUACCUGCUGCCACUACAGUGUCAAGGGAAGAGCUAGAGAUGAGGCCCAAGAAGGCAGUGGAGUCAAGAAGAACUUGGAGACAGCCAACAUGGAGCAGUUUGCCUCCAGAUACAGAAACCAAAACAGUGUUGAUGUGGUUUUUUUUAACAUACUUUGUAAACAGAGUGAUCCAAAGUGAUAUCUCAUAGUUCUGCUGCAAAAUGUCAAUGAUUCAGAAGCACAGGUCAAUUGGCAAGCAAAGUAGUAGGUCUAUCCUUAUGCAGAACUGGAAGAGGUACAAUGAACUCCUCGAAAUCUAGCAUUUUCUCUCCUGUCAGUAUCUCAACUCUCAAGCUAGGAAGCUCUAGAAAAAAAAAAAACAAUAAUUCUUAUGGUGAUGAUGGCACUGGGUUUGAAUGCUGGCAGGACUUCUGACAUAGAUUUUUUCGCCUGACAGUGAUGAGCCAUGCGGAUGUGAGCUUUUGAGUUUCACCUAGAAAGAAACGGUCCCAGAGGAACCAGAGGAAGCUCCCAGAAAACUUGUUGCACUCUCUUUUAUACUCUCACUCAGUUUCCUGAAGAUGACAUUCUGGUGCUUGGGGAGAUCGUAGCUGUCGGUUAUCUGAUGCAUUUUUUUGUAGCUGUGUAAAUCAGAGUCAGUUGAAAUGUGAGAACUAUAAUAUCAGAUUAGAAUCUGUGUGUUUAUAUAUAGAGGGCAAUAUUCGUGGUAAGUGGAUAUUUGGACUAGGUGAUCUUUGAUGUCUUUUCCAACCUUAAUGAUUCUAUGACUCUAUUUAUUUUUCAUUGGGACAGGGCAGAUUUUUAGGUUUGUCUAGAACAGUCUGGAGAUCUCAGUCUCACCAUUGCUAUAAUGAGCAGCAGAUAUUAAGAUAGAGUACUGGAUGAAUAUCCUCAAAACUUUCAGUGUGCACUAUCGAUAUUUUCAUGCACAAGAUCUCAGACAAAGAGUUUAGUAAGCACCACAGGCUUUUUGUCUUAAGACUGAAAAGCAAAUCUGACAAUACAGCAACGAGUCCACUGAAUAGUACUUCUAACUGUACUGCUUAUUUUUGCAAACAUCCUAAUUUGGUAUCACCUGUUCGCCAGAAGGAACAAAAAGUGUGUGUUCUGCUAACAGGAGCAGUGACUGUGGAGAAUGUUUCUCACUGGGGUUUUGGGUGUAGAAGUAUUUGAGCAGUUGCUCACAAUUUAUGUAGUAUUGUAUAGUUCAUCUUGUUCACAUGUAAAAACAAGAGUGAAUGUUAACAACUUCAGGAAAUCCAGUGUAAAGAAAAUUCAGUAGAAGUCCAUACUAUAUGGUUAAUACCACCUGGUGGUAAUCUCCACACACUACAGUUUUUGUUCUCAGGUUAGUUUCAUCCCUUCAAAUAAUAGUGAUGCAGAAUCAAUGGAUGUAUUUAACCCUGUUGUACAGUACCAAUUCUUACAGGUUUGCAGAACUAACAGACUACUGUAAGGACUAUGUUUAGUCUGAAUCUUCAGAUUUUGCUCUGGUACCCAGGUUUUUACAGCUCAGAAACUACAAUAAUGUUGUGUCACAUUCCAAGGGUAAUACUUCCUUACUCCUGCUGCUGUGUUGGGUGUGCAGUAACGUCAUUCUCUUAGUUUCAGUGGCAUUCUGUACAUACCAUUUUUGAACUGCUGAUAGCAAAAAGAGGUUAGACUUAGGUAGCCAGUGAAUUAAUUUUGGCAGCAGCAUCAGCACAAGGGUGGACAAUUAGCUAGCAGCCCUAGUGGAAAUAAAUGUUUUGCUUUGUCUUGGUGCUAAAUCACUUGUAAAGCUGUCAUUCUCCAUUACCUUGCUGUUGUGAGCCAUGAGAUGACAAAUUAGACACUGAUGUCUCACAGGCACUAGUUCCACAAAACGAAGCACUGACUUCACAAAAGCAGCUACCAUGUGAAACUUGUGAUUUGAACCUCUGUGAAUUUAAUAGAAAAUACUUUUCAUCUUUCUAGUAGUCCUACUCAUAGACCUCUCAGCUGCUAUUUCACAAGUACAGCCAAGUCAUGCCUGACAAAUUUGGUGGUCUUUUAUGAUGGAGUUACAGCAUCAGUGGAUAAAGGAAGAGCAACUGAUGGCUUUAAACUGGAGGAGGUUAGAUUUAGACUAGA